AAAUGGGGAGAAGUCUGUCCAUAAUAAAGCACUGCUCUGCCUUCUUAACAACACUAUCAACAAGGUAGGUCCUACAGGCCCUGUUUUUUUGUCGCUCCUGGGCCCUGUUUCAGAAAGCAGGUUUAACAAACUCUGAGUUUAAACCUGGACUCUGAGCUGUCAAACUCUGAGUUUUCUUUUCAGAACAGCUGAUAACAAUUAGUUCAAUCAACUCUGUUAAAUUAACCCUGAGUAAAGCACGUGCAUGAGGAGCUAAAAAGCCCUCAUCAAUGGAACACAGAUAACAUGAUUCAUCAUCACAACAGGAUAAAAAAAUGAUCGAACCUCCUACUUCUCUCUAGUGGAGUUAGAAAUAUGAAUACAUUGUAACGACCCUGGGUUUAUAAGCGCGGACAUCGACUCUGCCGCACGAGCAUGCUUUUGCGGCAUAGUCGAUAGCGCGCCGGACCUCGAGCUCGAAGGUCGGGGGUUCGAGACCUGCUCCCUGCUGUUACAUUACAAAAUAUUUAAGAAAAAAAGUAACAACAGCAAAAUAACGUGAGCUGGCGUGGCAGAAAAUUGCUGACCGAGUCAAUGUGUGCAACCCAACAUGCAGAAAACGUACUUGGCAUCAACUGAAGAUGAAAUAUUUAAAAAAUAUACUUCAAACGGCCAAUAGAAAAAAGGCUGAGGGCUGAAGAAAAGGUGGGGGUCCACCACCACUCCCGAGGCUAAAGAGAUGGCCCUCAGUCAAAACAGUGGGAGACCUGUUGCUAAAGGCAUCUCUGGAGGAACCUCAUCUGACCCAACCACCCCAAGGGUGGGCCUACCUAAGAGGUUACUUAUUAAAAUGAAUAAUCUAUGUACAUUCAUCCUUUUGCCACAGUGUUACCUCAGUGAUUCCCACCCAUCCAUCUUAGACACUACUUGGCACAAGGAUUUUCUUGCAGCGAUACAAUUCUAUGUAAUUGACUGCUGUUACUUUUUCAGAUUCUUAGUUGUCCUUCAGACAUCAUAAUCUAUUUUAAGGUAACUCUUGAGUUAUUUAUUUGAAAUUCGGAUGUGGCCUGCACACUGUAAAAACAAAAUUCAAACUAUGUGUGGCACUUUUCUGGGUAAAGUUAUUAUUUAACUGUCUAAUCUUCAUCUGCUACCAGCUACUGAUGGUGUAAUCUGUCUGGUGGAGCCUUCUGCCAUAACAGACCUCCAUGCAGUUGUAAGUACUCUUAGUACUCCACAGAUUUUUCAUAAUGGGUUAGAGUAGAACGCCAACAUUGUUAGUUUUCAUUACAGGAGAAUGAUGAAGACACCUUGUUAGCUGCCACAGGGAGGGAAGCUACAGAGAGGCCUAUUGAGGUAAAAAUAACAGCUAACAGUUGAUGAGUGUUAUACCAUAAUAAAACGUGCACCUUUUUCCUCUAACAGAGCAAUGCUGGAAAUUACAAUGAGGAAGAGGGUCCAUCCACCUCCACAGUACAACUUACGUAAGAUGUUAUUCAGCAUUUGCCCAUGAUUUACAAUGAAACUAAGUAGACCUGGCACUGUGAAAUUCAAUGUCAUUUUUUUGUGUUCCUAUAGUUCCCUGUGAAACAGCUGUACUUAGAGAAACAAAUUUAAACAUGUAAUUUAGAAAUUGACCACAUAAGGCUGCAGAUGCAAGAACAUAGAAAUACAACAGCUGGAACAUCAGUUAAAGGUGGGUGAGGUGCCCACAGGUGGAUGAUUUUACUUGGUUGAACAACAUAAAUAUUAACUACUGUACUGCAUUUGCACUGGCAAGAAAU